rnacentral:rRNA from 1 species
UACAGAGGGUGCAAGCGUUGUUCGGAAUUAUUGGGCGUAAAGCGCGUGUAGGCGGCCGUGCAAGUCGGGUGUGAAAGCCCUCGGCUCAACCGAGGAAAGUGCGCCCGAAACUGCAUGGCUUGAGUACCGGAGAGGAUGGCGGAAUUCCCCAAGUAGAGGUGAAAAUUCGUAGAUAUUCGCAAGAACACCAGUGGCGAAGGCGGCUCACUGGCCCGGAACUGACGCUGAGGCACGAAAGCGUGGGGAAGCAAACAGG